CCUACGGGUGGCAGCAGUGGGGAAUAUUGCACAAUGGGGGAAACCCUGAUGCAGCGACGCCGCGUGAGGGAAGAAGGAUUUCGGUAUGUAAAGCUCUAUCAGCAGGGAAGAAAAGGACGUUACCUGAUUAAGAAGCCCUGGCUAACUACGUGACAGCAGCCGCGGUAAGACGUAGGGGGAGAGCGUUAUACGGACUUACUGGUUGUAAAGGGAGCGUAGACGGCAGGACAAGUCUGGAGUGAAAUGCCGGGGCUGAACCCAGGAACUGCUUUGGAAACUGUGCAGCUAGAGUGCAGGAGAGGUCAGUGGAAUUCCAGGUGUAGCAGUGAAAUGCGUAGAUAUUAGGAGGAACACCAGUGGCGAAGGCGGCUAACUGGACUGUAACUGACGUUGAGGAUCGAAAGCGUGGGGAGCAAACAGGAUUAGAUACCCGUGUAGUC
rnacentral:rRNA from 1 species